CCUCCCACCCGUGUUUAUUUUACCUUGUUGCUUCGGCGGGCCCGCCUUAACUGGCCGCCGGGGGGCUCACGCCCCCGGGCCCGCGCCCGCCGAAGACACCCUCGAACUCUGUCUGAAGAUUGAAGUCUGAGUGAAAAUAUAAAUUAUUUAAAACUUUCAACAACGGAUCUCUUGGUUCCGGCAUCGAUGAAGAACGCAGCGAAAUGCGAUACGUAAUGUGAAUUGCAAAUUCAGUGAAUCAUCGAGUCUUUGAACGCACAUUGCGCCCCCUGGUAUUCCGGGGGGCAUGCCUGUCCGAGCGUCAUAUGCUGCCCUCAAGCCCGGCUUGUGUGUUGGGCCCCGUCCUCCGAUUUCCGGGGGACGGGCCCGAAAGGCAGCGGCGGCACCGCGUCCGGUCCUCGAGCGUAUGGGGCUUUGUCACCCGCUCUGUAGGCCCGGCCGGCGCUUGCCGAUCAACCCAAAUUUUUAUCCAGGUUGACCUCGGAUCAGGUAGGGAUACCCGCUGAACUUAAGCAUAUCAAUA
rnacentral:rRNA from 1 species